GAAGAACACAGGAAACUUUCUUAACACAUUCAAUUCUAACUUAAAUGCCCUGCUUUUUUUUUUUGCUCGAGUGGCGAACGGGUGAGUAACACGUGAGUAACCUUCCCUUGACUUUGGGAUAACUUCAUUAAACUGGGGCUAAUACCGGAUAUGAGCUCCUGCUUCUUUGUGGUGGUUGGAAAGUUUCGGCGGUUGGUGAUGGACUCGCGGCUUAUCAGCUUGUUGGUGGGGUAGUGGCUUACCAAGGCUUUUACGGGUCGCCGGCAUGCGAGGGUGACAGGACACAUUGGGAAUGAGAUACGGCCCAGACUCCUACGGGAGGCAGCAGUGGGGAAUAUUGCACAAUGGGCGGAAGCCUGAUGCAGCAACGCCGCGUGAGGGAGGAAGGAAUUCGGGUUGUAAACCGCUUUCGCCUGGGACGAAGCGUGAGUGAAGGGAAUGGGUAAAGAAGCAAAGGAGAAAGACGGG
rnacentral:rRNA from 1 species